rnacentral:tRNA from 1 species
GGGCUUGUGGUUUAGUGGUAUAAUACUCCCUUAGCAUGUGCGUGAUUUCACGAUCAUUUGUACAACUUGGGAGUGGUCCGGGGUUCGAUUCCCCGCGAGUCCA